CCUGACUGCUAUCGGAUUGAUACUAAGCCAUGCGAGUCGUUGCAGCAAUGCAAGGCAGACGGCUCAGUAACGCGUAGUCAACCUACCCUAUGGACGUGGAUAACCUCGGGAAACUGAGAAUAAUACACGAUAGAACAUUAUGCCUGGAAUGGUUUAUGUUCCAAAUGAUUUAUCGCCGUAGGAUGGGACUGCGUCCUAUCAGUUUGUUGGUGAGGUAAUGGCCCACCAAGACCGUUACAGGUACGGGCUCUGAGAGGAGUGGCCCGGAGAUGGGUACUGAGACACGGACCCAGGCCCUAUGGGGCGCAGCAGGCGAGAAAACUUUGCAAUGUGCGAAAGCACGACAAGGUUAAUCCGAGUGGUUUCUGCUAAAGGAACCUUUUGACAGUCCUAGAAACACUGUUGAAUAAGGGGUGGGCAAGUUCUGGUGUCAGCCGCCGCGGUAAAACCAGCACCUCAAGUUGUCAGGAUGAUUAUUGGGCCUAAAGCAUCCGUAGCCGGCUCUGUUAGUUUUCGGUUAAAUCUGUGCGCUCAACGUACAGGCUGCCGGGAAUACUGCAGAGCUAGGGAGUGGGAGAGGUAGACGGUACUCGGUAGGAAGGGGUAAAAUCCUUUGAUCUAUUGAUGACCACCUGUGGCGAAGGCGGUCUACCAGAACACGUCCGACGGUGAGGGAUGAAAGCUGGGGGAGCAAACCGGAUUAGAUACCCGGGUAGUCCCAGCCGUAAACCAUGCAAACUCAGUGAUGCAUUGGCUUGUGGCCAGUGCAGUGCUGCAGGGAAGCCGUUAAGUUUGCCGCCUGGGAAGUACGUACGCAAGUAUGAAACUUAAAGGAAUUGGCGGGGGAGCACCACAAGGGGUGAAGCCUGCGGUUC
rnacentral:rRNA from 1 species